AGAAUCAACGCUGGCGGCGUGCCUAACACAUGCAAGUCGAACGAGAACGGGUAGCAAUACCUUAGUAAAGUGGCGCACGGGUGAGUAACACGUGACUAACCUACCCUGGAGUGGGGGAUAACUGAGAGAAAUCUUAGCUAAUACCGCAUAACACCUACGGGUCAAAGGAGCAAUUCGCUUCAGGAGGGGGUCGCGGCAGAUUAGAUAGUUGGCGGGGUAAUGGCCCACCAAGACUGUGAUCGGUA
rnacentral:rRNA from 1 species